CAGCCCUACCUGAGGGGCGGCCGACUGCACGUACCUGACCACAUCAUCUGCUGCCCCCCGGGCUGGAGCUUAAAACUCCUAUCCACACUUUAAAAGUUGUAUCCAUCAGGGGUUUUUGUUUGGUUGGUUGGUUGGUUGUUUUGGUUUGUUAGUUUUUUGUUUUGGUUUCCGUUUGUUUGUUUGUGUUGUUGUUGUUAUUGUUUUGGUUUGCUGGGUCUUUUUAAGGUUUUGGAGUUGCAGAGAGCCCCUGGUGUGUGAGACACUUUGUGCCAUGACAUGGGCUCUCACUGUCAGUGAGGCCAGGUGUUGAAGCCGGGCUGCAUCGUACUAAAGGGAAACCCUCGCCCAACGAGGAUUUGGCCUUCAGAGAUCAAGAGCUGAUUUAAAACGGGUGUAUUCAUGCCAGUGUGAAUAGAAGAGCUGCCAAAAAUACAGAACAUUCAAGGAGAUACUUUUAAAGAAGGAGCCUGGUAUGAAAAUCACUCAAGGAAGGAUUGAUGUACCUUAAUUUGGAGGGAAUAUCAUCAAUGGAUGACACAAGCUGGAUAAGUGUUAACAGUUGCACUGAACCAAGCAGUUAACAACAUUGAUGUGAUUAAUAAUAAUAGACAACUACUUACAUGACUUUGAGACUUUAGAGCUCUGAGUUCCUAAAGGAGUCAAGGUGAGGAGAUAGUGG